rnacentral:rRNA from 1 species
UAGUGGCGAACGGGUGAGUAACACGUGAGUAACCUGCCCUUGACUCUGGGAUAACCUCGGGAAACCGAAGCUAAUACCGGAUACGACCCUCGGAGGCAUCUCCAGGGGGUGGAAAGAACUUCGGUCAAGGAUGGACUCGCGGCCUAUCAGGUAGUUGGUGAGGUAACGGCUCACCAAGCCGACGACGGGUAGCCGGCCUGAGAGGGUGACCGGCCACACUGGGACUGAGACACGGCCCAGACUCCUACGGGAGGCAGCAGUGGGGAAUAUUGCACAAUGGGCGCAAGCCUGAUGCAGCAACGCCGCGUGAGGGACGACGGCCUUCGGGUUGUAAACCUCUUUUAGUAGGGAAGAAGCGAAAGUGACGGUACCUGCAGAAAAAGCACCGGCUAACUACGUGCCAGCAGCCGCGGUAAUACGUAGGGUGCAAGCGUUGUCCGGAAUUAUUGGGCGUAAAGAGCUCGUAGGCGGUUUGUCGCGUCUGCUGUGAAAACCCGAGGCUCAACCUCGGGCCUGCAGUGGGUACGGGCAGACUAGAGUGCGGUAGGGGAGAUUGGAAUUCCUGGUGUAGCGGUGGAAUGCGCAGAUAUCAGGAGGAACACCGAUGGCGAAGGCAGAUCUCUGGGCCGUAACUGACGCUG